rnacentral:rRNA from 1 species
GACGAACGCUGGCGGCGUGCUUAACACAUGCAAGUCGAACGGAAAGGCCCUGCUUUUGUGGGGUGCUCGAGUGGCGAACGGGUGAGUAACACGUGAGUAACCUGCCCUUGACUUUGGGAUAACUUCAGGAAACUGGGGCUAAUACCGGAUAGGAGCUCCUGCUGCAUGGUGGUGGUUGGAAAGUUUCGGCGGUUGGGGAUGGACUCGCGGCGUCUCAGCUUGGUGUUGGGGUAGUGGCUUACCAAGGCGUUGACGGGUAGCCGGCCUGAGCGGGUGACCGGCCACAUUGGGACUGAGAUACGGCCACGACUCCUACGGGAGGCAGCAGUGAGGAAUAUUGCACACUGGGCGGAAGCCAGAUGUCGCACCGCCGCGUGCGGGAUGACGGCCUUCGGGUUGUAGACGGCUUUCGCAUGUGACGAAGCGUGAGUGACGGUAAUGGGUAAAGACGCACCGGCCAACUACGUG